rnacentral:rRNA from 1 species
AAUAGAUACCCGGGUAGUCCACGCCGUAAACGUUGGGCGCUAGAUGUGGGGGCCAUUCCACGGUUUCCGCGUCGUAGCUAACGCAUUAAGCGCCCCGCCUGGGGAGUACGGCCGCAAGGCUAAAACUCAAAGGAAUUGACGGGGGCCCGCACAAGCGGCGGAGCAUGCGGAUUAAUUCGAUGCAACGCGAAGAACCUUACCAAGGCUUGACAUAUACGAGAACACUGCAGAAAUGUAGGACUCUUUGGACACUCGUAUACAGGUGGUGCAUGGUUGUCGUCAGCUCGUGUCGUGAGAUGUUGGGUUAAGUCCCGCAACGAGCGCAACCCUCGUCGCAUGUUGCCAGCACGUAAAGGUGGGAACUCAUGUGAGACUGCCGGGGUCAACUCGGAGGAAGGUGGGGAUGACGUCAAAUCAUCAUGCCCCUUAUGUCUUGGGCUUCACGCAUGCUACAAUGGCCGGUACAAAGGGCUGCAAUACCGUAAGGUGAGCGAAUCCAAAAGCCGGUCUCAGUUCGGA